ACGCCCGUAGCUCAGUUGGUUAGAGCAUCACCUUGACAUGGUGGGGGUCAGUGGUUCGAGUCCACCCGGGCGUACCA
rnacentral:tRNA from 34 species